rnacentral:rRNA from 1 species
CGGGCGCCUUAUGCAUGCAAGUCGAGCGAAGCUUUUCUGUAGUUUACUACAGAAAAUGACUGAGCGGCGAACGGGUGAGUAACGCGUGAGCAAUCUACCUUAGUUACAGGGAUAGCCCGAGGAAACUCGGAUUAAUACCUGAUAUUCUUUUUUUCUCGCAUGAGUUUUAAAGGAAAGGUCAGCCGAACUAAGAUGAGCUCGCGUUCUAUCAGCUAGUUGGUGAGGUAAUAGCUCACCAAGGCAACGACGGAUAGCUGGUCUGAGAGGACGAUCAGCCACACUGGGACUGAGACACGGCCCAGACUCCUACGGGAGGCUGCAGCAGGGAAUAUUGUGCAAUGAGCGAAAGCUUGACACAGCGACACCGCGUGUGGGAUGACGGAUCUAGGUUUGUAAACCACUUUCGGGAGGGAAGAAAAUGACGGUACCUCCAUAAGAAGCCCCGGCCAACUACGUGCCAGCAGCCGCGGUAAUACGUAGGGGGCGAGCGUUGUCCGGAUUUAUUGGGCGUAAAGAGCUCGUAGGCGGUUCAACAAGUCGGUCGUGAAAGUUCAGGGCUCAACCCUGAAAUGUCGAUCGAUACUGUUGUGACCAGGAUACGGUAGAGGUGAGUGGAAUUCCGAGUGUAGCGGUGAAAUGCGUAGAUAUUCGGAGGAACACCAAUUGCGAAGGCAGCUCACUGGGCCGCUAUCGACGCUGAGGAGCGAAAGCUAGGGGAGCAAACAGGAUUAGAUACCCUGGUAGUCCUAGCUGUAAACGAUGGAUACUAGACGUAGGAACUGGAUUGACGGUUUCUGUGUCGUAGCUAACGCGUUAAGUAUCCCGCCUGGGGAGUACGGUCGCAAGACUAAAACUCAAAGGAUUUGACGGGACCCCGCACAAG